rnacentral:rRNA from 1 species
AACGAACGCUGGCGGCAGGCCUAACACAUGCAAGUCGAACGCUGUAGCAAUACAGAGUGGCAGACGGGUGAGUAACGCGUGGGAACAUGCCCUUCGGUUCGGAAUAACUCAGGGAAACUUGAGCUAAUACCGGAUACGCCCUUAGGGGGAAAGAUUUAUUGCCGAAGGAUUGGCCCGCGUCCGAUUAGCUAGUUGGUGAGGUAAUGGCUCACCAAGGCGACGAUCGGUAGCUGGUCUGAGAGGAUGAUCAGCCACACUGGGACUGAGACACGGCCCAGACUCCUACGGGAGGCAGCAGUGGGGAAUAUUGGACAAUGGGCGCAAGCCUGAUCCAGCCAUGCCGCGUGAGUGAUGAAGGCCCUAGGGUUGUAAAGCUCUUUCGCCAGGGACGAUAAUGACGGUACCUGGAUAAGAAGCCCCGGCUAACUUCGUGCCAGCCGCCGCCGUAAGAC